UGGCGGCCGCGGGAAUUCGAUUGAGUUUGAUCCUGGCUCAGAAUGAACGAUGGCGGCAUGCCUAACACAUGCAAGUCGAACGAGACCUUCGGGUCUAGUGGCGCACGGGUGCGUAACGCGUGGGAAUCUGCCCUUGGGUUCGGAAUAACUCAGAGAAAUUUGAGCUAAUACCGGAUGAUGUCGUAAGUCCAAAGAUUUAUCGCCCAAGGAUGAGCCCGCGUAGGAUUAGCUAGUUGGUGGGGUAAAGGCUCACCAAGGCAACGAUCCUUAGCUGGUCUGAGAGGAUGAUCAGCCACACUGGGACUGAGACACGGCCCAGACUCCUACG
rnacentral:rRNA from 1 species